CAACAUAAAGCUGAGGCAAAGAACUGCUGCAGGUCCACUGAAGGGUGUGGUUGGUGCCAUGGGUGGCACAGGGGCUGGGUGAAGGGCAGACCCAGAGCACCUUCAAUCUCCUCCUGCUGAUGAGAACACUCCAAAUAGCAGUGUGGGAUGGAGGGCUUUGCUGCCCACUGCUCCCUGUGCCUGACCAGCUGCUGGGACAGCCAAGAAGAGAGCUGUAAGAAUCACAUCACAGAAUCAUGAUAAUCAUGGAUGUUGACAUGAUUGACUUCAGCGCCAUUUGGUUGAUCAGGAAACACACUGCCUCCAGCUCCACGUGUCUCAUCCAGGACAGAGCUGUUUUUCUGUGGCCACAUUCAAACACGCUCCAUCCUGCGACCCACCAAUGCUUCCUCUGCAGAGUUAAAUCAGAGGUGAGGUCUCGAAUUUUGUUAUGACCGAUAGUUGGCUCAGAUUAUUUGGUCACCAGUGAAUGAAUGAUUUCUUUCACCCUCACCCUUUGCCAACGUCAGUGAUGUUCUGUUCAGCUGCCUUUUCUCUUUCUGUGUGAAGUAAUGCAAAGCAGUGUGAAAGAGGAGGACAGCAUUGAGGUGUCAUACUCCAAGCCAUUU
rnacentral:lncRNA from 1 species